rnacentral:rRNA from 1 species
GACGAACGCUGGCGGCGUGCCUAAUACAUGCAAGUAGAACGCACAGUUUAUACCGUAGCUUGCUACACCAUAAACUGUGAGUUGCGAACGGGUGAGUAACGCGUAGGUAACCUGCCUGGUAGCGGGGGAUAACUAUUGGAAACGAUAGCUAAUACCGCAUAAUAUUGAUUAUUGCAUGAUAAUUGAUUGAAAGAUGCUAUUGCAUCACUACCAGAUGGACCUGCGUUGUAUUAGCUAGUAGGUGAGGUAACGGCUCACCUAGGCGACGAUACAUAGCCGACCUGAGAGGGUGAUCGGCCACACUGGGACUGAGACACGGCCCAGAAUCCUACGGGAGGCAGCAGUAGGGAAUCUUCGGCAAUGGACGAAAGUCUGACCGAGCAACGCCGCGUGAGUGAAGAAGGUUUUCGGAUCGUAAAGCUCUGUUGUAAGGGAAGAACGGGUGUGAGAGUGGAAAGUUCACACUGUGACGGUAUCUUACCAGAAAGGGACGGCUAACUACGUG